AGUGAACGCUGGCGGUAGGCCUAACACAUGCAAGUCGAACGGCAGCACAGUAAGAGCUUGCUCGUACGGGUGGCGAGUGGCGGACGGGUGAGGAAUACAUCGGAAUCUACUUUUUCGUGGGGGAUAACGUAGGGAAACUUACGCUAAUACCGCAUACGACCUACGGGUGAAAGCAGGGGAUCUUCGGACCUUGCGCGAUUGAAUGAGCCGAUGUCGGAUUAGCUAGUUGGCGGGGUAAAGGCCCACCAAGGCGACGAUCCGUAGCUGGUCUGAGAGGAUGAUAAGCCACACUGGAACUGAGACACGGUCCAGACUCCUACGGGAGGCAGCAGUGGGGAAUAUUGGACAAUGGGCGCAAGCCUGAUCCAGCCAUACCGCGUGGGUGAAGAAGGCCUUCGGGUUGUAAAGCCCUUUUGUUGGGAAAGAAAAGCAGCAGGUUAAUACCCCGCUGUUCUGACGGUACCCAAAGAAUAAGCACCGGCUAACUUCGUG
rnacentral:rRNA from 1 species